AGAGGGCCGCGCUGUCCCGAGGAUUCCGCAGGCUGGCGAGCGGGCGGCUGCGGGCUGACGCCGAGGGUGAGAAGGAGCAGAGCCGGCCGGGCCAUGGGACAGCGGGCGGCGGGCGCGCUGCUGCUGGCGCUGCUGCUGCACGGGCGGCUGCUCGCGGUGAGCCGCGGGCUGCAGGA